UAGGACUGGAGUACAGAACUCAGAAAAGGCAGAGAUAUUCCUGCAAGACAGGAGAUGAAAUGAGCAGUCAUUGGAUGUAAAAUUAUGAAGAACUGGCUCAACCUGUUACAGAACAUGAUCUUUGUCUUACCUUCAGUAGAAAGACUUUAAUGUGAUGUGGCAGUGGAUAAGCAUGAGCAAGAAGGUCUGCCACAGAAUGAAGCAUAAGGAUGCUACUGGAUCAGUCAGUUCUUCAUAUGGUAAGAGCAUAACUUCCUGGAGAGUGAGAGAAGAGAACCACAAGACAGUGGAGUAUACUCACUGAACAGAGGUGCAGUGAGAGACAGCAAAGCUCUCCACUCAGCUCCUCCUAAACACAACAGUUUGUACCUCUUAGGUUGUUCCUCUCAC
rnacentral:lncRNA from 1 species